rnacentral:rRNA from 1 species
AUUGAACGCUGGCGGCAGGCCUAACACAUGCAAGUCGAGCGGAUGAAGAGAGCUUGCUCUCUGAUUUAGCGGCGGACGGGUGAGUAAUGCCUAGGAAUCUGCCUGGUAGUGGGGGAUAACGUCCGGAAACGGGCGCUAAUACCGCAUACGUCCUACGGGAGAAAGCAGGGGACCUUCGGGCCUUGCGCUAUCAGAUGAGCCUAGGUCGGAUUAGCUAGUUGGUGAGGUAAUGGCUCACCAAGGCGACGAUCCGUAACUGGUCUGAGAGGAUGAUCAGUAACCCUGGAACUGCGACACGGUCCAGACUCCUACGGGAGGCAGCAGUGGGGAAUAUUGGACAAUGGGUGCAAGCCUGACCCAGCCAUGCCGCGUGUGUGAAGAAGGUCUUCGGAUUGUAAAGCACUUUAAGUUGGGAGGAAGGGCAGUAAGUUAAUACCUUGCUGUUUUGACGUUACCGACAGAAUAAGCACCGGCUAACUUCGUGCCAGCCGCCGCCGUAAAAC